AGGAAUUUACUUGUCUAAUCCCCUGCAUUUUCACAGCAGCCCUAUGAGGUGUGUUCUGUUAUGUUCCUGAAUUGAACAUAAGUAAAGUGAGGUAGAAGUUGCACAGUGAGCAAGAGGAGAGGCCGGACUUCACCCCAGGCCAUCAGAAUCCAGGGUUGAGCUCCGAAGUCUCAUGCUAGUCCAUGGCCCGAGCCUGGGAGGAGGUCACCCCGUGUCAGAGGACCCUUCCCCUGUCCCUGUCUUGUGUCGUGAGGAAGGCCAGACAGGGCCCUAAGUGCUCUGAGCAGCUGGAACUCGUUGGGAUACAAGUGACAGAAAAGCCAACUUUAACCAGGGGAUUUCGGAUUCAAGCUCCUGCACAGUCCAGGGCUACCGCUGGCUCCUGCAAGACUGGGUUCAGGCUCCAUGGCGCCAUCAGGGCCCGAUGCCUCUCUCCCCACACCACUGUCUCCUUGCUCCUUUCACGUUGACUCCUUUCUCUGACAGGCUCCUCCUUCAUGGAUGUAAAAUGGCUGCAGCCCCUCCGGACCUCACAUUGUCUCAGCUUCAGGUCCACUGGGAAGCCACCUGCCUCCGUCCCAGCAUUCCCUGCAAUCAUCUCAUUGGAUCUCACUGGGUCGGAUUGGGUCACAUGUCCAUCCCUCAGCCAAUCACAGUGGCUGGUGGAAUAAAUGCCCUGAUUGGCUUAGGCUUGGGGAAGUCACACGGUCUUGCCUGAGGAGUUCUGGAGCCUUUUCCAAAAGACAAGUCUAAGAGCAGGAAGGGCCCCCUCAGCAGAGAUGCACUGGCGUGGGCUCACCAGGGAGAGGGAAGAGACAACGCUUGGCACAGCCCACAGCACGGCUGCUCAUAAACACUCACAGCCCCUCCGUGUCAGAGGACCUUCCCCACCACUGACAUCAGGCUGGGCCAUGUGACUGCCUUUGUCCAUAAAACUGGAGAGGAAGUGAGGGGCGUGGCUUCUGGGCAGCAGCUUUAGUGCUUCAUGAGUUAUUCGUCACGUUCUCUCUCCCUCCCUCUGAGCAGCAGGAAGUGCAGAUGGCGAGGACGAGACGCCCAGCCAAGGGACAAUGGACGAAGAGCGUGAGGGACGGCCGGUGUCAUCGUUGGAGCUUCCUAAGACUCCCAGAGGCUGAUGCACCUCCCAGACCCGCCUCCGCCCGGCUCCCUGGGCCCUGCUCCAGGGGCUUCAUUGCUCCCUGCCCCGGGUCACCCCUCGGCUCACCGUCUCUCAGGUGUGGAAUAUCCUGCUCCAAUCAAAGCCAUGUCACCUGCGUUGUCCAGUGAAACGUCAGCGGACAGGCGCUGCCCGGGCUCCAGGGAGCUCCUCACUGAGGCUCACUCCCUGUGCCUCUGCCAUCAGCACAGGGGGACAUGCCUGGCUGCCUGUGGGACCAGGGAGGACGCGCGGUGCGGGAGCAGAGCCAGCCACACUGCCGCUGCUGCACUGUUCAUCUGAGUGGCGCAAGGUGAGCUGACACCCGUUGGACCCUCAGACCCCUGAGCCAGCCCCACUGAGAUCUGAGCCACCGCGGCCAAACUGCAGUCACCUGGGAAGGAAGCCCCGCGUUCCGCCCCUGAGAUGUGCGGCACUUUGCUGUGCAGCAGCUUCCUGGCACUGCUGGACCUGUCUUGAAGGCUCUUUUGGCCGGAAAUGGAUGGGCAGGGAUCUGAGAGCACCUGCUAUCGGGUGAGUCCUGCUUUACUCAUGUCAGAGAUUUAGACUAAAACAAACACAAAAUGCAACAAAGACCUAAGUGUAAGAGCUAAAAGUAUAAAACUCUUAUAAAAAAAGUAAGUGUAAAUUUUCAUGGUCUUGGAUUAGGUAGCACUCUCUUAGAUGUGCUAUCAGAAGCACAUACAACCACAGGAAAAAAAAUACAUAAAUUGAAUUUCAUCAAAAUUUAAAACUUUUGUGCAUUAAAGUUCAUGAUCAAAAAAGCGAGAAGAAAACCCAGAGAAUGAGUGAAAUAUUUGCAAAUCAUACAUCUGGGACAAGUAUCCAGAAUAUAUAAAAAUUCUUAGAACUCAACAAUAUAAAGAAAAAUAACCAAAUUAAACAGUAGGCAAAGGAUUCGAAGAGACCUUUGUCCAAAGAAGAUACACAAAUGACCAAUGAGUACGUGAAAAGAUACUCAGCAGCUACUCAUUAUGGAAGUACCACUUUCCACUCAUGCUGAGGGCUAUAAUAAAAAACAAAACAGAAAUGACAAGUGCAGUGAAGAUGUGGAGAAACUGGAUUUCUCAUAGAUUGCUGGUGGGAAAGUAACAUGGUGCAACCAAUGUAGAAACAGUUUGGCAGUUCCUUAAAAAAUUAAACAGAGCUACCAUCUGACCCGGCUUCUGCUCCUAGGUAUUUAUACACAAGGGAAUUGCAGACAUAUGUUCACACCAAAACUAGUAUGAGAAUGUUCAUAGCAGCAUUAUUCACAGUACCCAAAAAGUGGGAACAACCCCAAUGCCCAUUGAAAGACGAAUGAAUAAACAAAGCAUGGUGUGUUCACACCAUGGAAUGUGCCUGUGUCCUCAGCCAUGGAGAGAAUGAAGCACUGACACAGGCCACCAUGCGGCUGCACCUCAAAAACAUAAUGCCAGAAGAAAGAAGGCACACACCAUGGCCAUGUGUUUUAUGAUCCUACUCAUAGAAAACGUCCAGAGCAGCCAGCACUACAGAGACAGAAAGCAGAUUCAUGGUUGCCAGGAGCUGGAGGUGAGGGAUAGAAAAUAGGGAGUGACCUGGAAUGUGCAUAUAAUUUUGAGGGUGGGGUCAGGUACUUGUCUGUUCUCACAUUGCCAUAAGGAAAUCCCCGAGACCAGGUAAUUUAUAAAGGAAAGAGGUUUAAUUGACUUAGUUCCACAUUGCUGUGGAGGCCUCAGGAAGCUUACAAUCAUGGCGGAAUGCACCUCUUCACAGGGCUGCAGGAGAGAGAAUGAGCACCAGCAGGGGAAAUGUGAUACUUAUAAAACCAUCAGAGACUCACUCAUUAUCACGAGAAUGACAUGGGGGAAACCACCCCCCUGACUCAAUCACCUCCCACUGGGUCCCUCCCGUGACAUGUGGGGAUUAUGGGGAUGAGAUUUGGGUGGGGACACAGCCAAAUCAAGAUGAGAUUUGGGUGGGGCACAGCCAAACCAUAUCAGGUAGUGAUGAAAAUACUCUGGAAUUAGAUAGUGGUGACUGUUGCAUAAACUUAGGAAUGUACUAGAAAUACUAACUUGUGCAGUUUGAGAUGGUGAAUUCUAUGGUAUGUGAAUGAUUUAAGUUUUUAAAGCGUAAAAAAUAGAAGAAUUGAGCAACUGGACACAUUGGGGGUGCAGGCGUGGGCAGGGCAGGCCCAGCGUUUGCACUCGGGGGAGCAGGAAACAGUCCCCACCUCUGAGGUCCCUGCGCCUGAGAGGCCUGAGUGAGGUUUUCAUUUCUUCCUCGGACAGGGAGGCAAGGGCAGCGGUGGGUGGCCAGUGCGGGGCGGUGCGGGCUCCUCUCCUGGGCUUGGCUGCCUCCUGCACAGAAACUGUCCCUCCCUGGCUGUCUUCUGAUGCCUAAUUCCCUGGGUAUCCCAGGCGCCUGAUUUCUCCUUCAGGAACCUUGGUCAGUUCUGUUCCUGCCCUGAGAUGCCUCACCUAGAGAGGCCUCCCCAGUCCCAGCCCCCUGGGUCAAGGCCCCCAGCCCAACGCGGCCCCUCUGACAUCUCCGGAAAAAGCCCUGCUCCCACAGAGAGGGGCCACCUGCCCUACAAUUUUUCCUUUUUAAAUUAACUUUCCCGACAUUUUCCUGUUCUAAGCACAACUCAUCAUUGGAGGAAAUUUAGAGAAUGUACACUGUACAGUGUAAUACUGUACACUGUACAAGUAUUAAAUAAAAGGAAAAAUGUCCUUCUCUAUGGCCAAAUCUUUCCCAAGUUACACAAAUACAGACAAGUGAUAUGUUUUUCUUUGUUAACAAAAAAUGUAACCACUACGUCCAGGUUAUUCUUUUUUUUUUUUUUUUUUUUUUGAGACGGAGUCCUGCUCUGUCGCCCAGGCUGCAGUGCAGUGGCGCG
rnacentral:lncRNA from 1 species